UCACUAGUAAUUGUCACCGUUACGUUAAGCAGCCCGUCACAACUUGGCGUACAACUAUACAUGACUCAAUAUCCGCAACCAUCUUGGCCUAGAUAUUUUCUUGUACAAUGGCCACAUAAACAGGUACGCAACGCUACAGCUGCAUGCCAGAUAACAUUCAGAUGCUACUCGUUCUAUCCCAAACUUCUGCUUAUUUAUAUCCACAAUCACAGCCAAUUCACACUACGGGACAGCUCGUGGUCAUGGGUGCCUAGGAGAAAUCACGGUCCGGGAAGAGCAGAGGGGCGAUGAGGGUCCAGAUGUACAAUGCGGCGGUGACCCACUCCGUGCAGAUGCGCACCCAGACGGUUGUCCAUCCAACAU
rnacentral:lncRNA from 1 species